rnacentral:rRNA from 1 species
GAUGAACGCUGGCGGCGUGCCUAACACAUGCAAGUCGAGCGAUUUACUUCGGUAAAGAGCGGCGGACGGGUGAGUAACGCGUGGGUAACCUGCCUCAUACACAUGGAUAACAUACCGAAAGGUAUGCUAAUACAAGAUGAUAUAAGAGAUUCGCAUGGAUUUCUUAUCAAAGCUCCGGCGGUAUGAGAUGGACCCGCGUCUGAUUAGCUAGUUGGUAAGGUAACGGCUUACCAAGGCGACGAUCAGUAGCCGACCUGAGAGGGUGAUCGGCCACAUUGGAACUGAGACACGGUCCAAACUCCUACGGGAGGCAGCAGUGGGGAAUAUUGCACAAUGGGCGAAAGCUUGAUGCAGCAACGCCGCGUGAGCGAUGAAGGCCUUCGGGUCGUAAAGCUCUGUCCUCAAGGAGGAUAAUGACGGUACUUGAGGAGGAAGCCCCGGCUAACUACGUGCCAGCCGCCGCGGUAAUAC